rnacentral:rRNA from 1 species
GACGAACGCUGGCGGCGUGCCUAAUACAUGCAAGUAGAACGCAGAUGCGAACAGGUGAGUAACGCGUAGGUAACUGCCCCAUAGCGGGGGAUAACCCUUGGAAACGAUAGCUAAUACCGCAUACUGUGAGCUGGACCUGAGUUGUAUUAGCUAGGUGGUGAGGUCAAGGCUCACCAAGGCGACGAUACAUAUCCGAGCUGAGAGGUUGAUCCGGCACACUGGGACUGAGACACGGCCCCAGCUCCUACGGGAGGCAGCAGGAGGGAAUCUUCGGACAUGGAGGGAAGUCUGACCGCACAACGCCGCGUGGUUGAAGAAGGUUUUCGGAUCUGAAAGCUCUGUUGUUAGAGAAGCGGUACCUGACCAGAAAGGGACGGCUAACUACGUGCCAGCCGCCGCGGUAAUUC